ACUAUUAUUAAAGACACUCCUCUUCCUCUACAGACCAGUGCUGUGGACAUCUUCUCUGCUAGCUGUGUGUUUUACUAUGUGUUGACAGGAGGCAAACAUCCCUUUUGGGAACCCAAUCGUAGGGCUGGUAAUAUUGAGGAUGGCAAAUACAACCUCGACGGAUUACAGAAAGACAAACAUGAGGACAUCAUGGCCGAACACCUGAUAAAAUAUAUGGUGACUAAGGAGCCCAAGUGGAGGCCUUCUGCUGAGAGCGUGCUCGAACACCCCUUCUUCUGGAGCCUGGAGAAACAACUGCAGUUUUUCCAGGGUGUGAGUGACUGGAUUGAUGCAUAGUUACAGCUGAAGCAGUUGAACGACGCAAUCAUUGAUCAGCUGGAGUCAGAAGCAGAAAAAGUGGUCAAGGGGAACUGGAUGAAACACAUCAAUGAGGAUCUGCGAGAAAGUUAGUGUCUGAGGAUCAGUGUUUGAACACCAACAGACUAUCUAGAAAAACGCAAAGGAGCAUGUAAAGAGGGCUCCGUUGAACUAUUCUACGGGCCAUAAGAAACAAGAUCUCCAUAAGACGUUCGGCUCAUUCCCAGAAGGCUUUGUGUCCUACUUCACCUCCCGCUUCCCCCACCUGCUGCUGCACACCUACCGGGCCAUGCUCACCUGUGCUGAGGAGAUGGCCUUCCAGAAAUACUACCCCAAGUUGAGAGAGGCGUGGAUGGUCUAUGACACACAGACAGCCUAAGACCAAAAGGUCCUUUACACCAAUCUUUGAAGUGAUGACAACCAAGCCACCAGCCCAAAUAUUGUGUAUUUUUCUAGGCUUUGCUUUUAUUGUUGUUUUCGUAACAUGAACCUGCAGUGCACUGAAUCCAGAGACAUUCCUUCAAUGACAAUUCCAUAACUAGAUAGAGGCUGUCAGUUCACUGUACUGUCAGUGUACAAAAGUGAACUUAGCUUUUUUUUGUGUGUAUCUGUUUUUCUAUUACAUUGCUUAUGAAAUAUUAUUAUUUAUGCAUGAAGGUAUUCCUGAUCCUCUGUGGACCCUGACACUGUACCUUGUUUUGUUUAUGUAUGUGUAUAGGUGAUUUAAUGCUUUAUAGAUGAAGCCUGUACCAUGUUUGACUAUGAUGGCUUUUAGUGCCUCAACUAAAUUUGAGU